UACGAAGGGGGCUAGCGUUGUUCGGAAUUACUGGGCGUAAAGCGCGCGCAGGCGCCAUUCAAGUCAGGGGUGAAAGCCCAGAGCUCAACUCUGGAACUGCCCUUGAAACUGUAUGGCUUGAGUAUGAGAGAGGUGAGUGGAAUUCCCAGUGUAGAGGUGAAAUUUCGUAGAUAUUGGGGAAGAACACCGGUGGCGAAGGCGGCUCACUGGCUCAUUACUGACG
rnacentral:rRNA from 1 species